rfam:Gossypium raimondii Chr03_contig_64, whole genome shotgun sequence.
UAUUAAAAAAUUCAUCUAUUUGUAUUAUUAAAAACUGGUGUAGUUGACAGAAUAACCAGGCAGUGAUAUAUAGUGUGCCAUGUGUACUCCAUGCUGUUGUUCAAGGAGCAGUUUUUUGCAGUAAAAAUGCAUGAAAUUUUUAACU